rnacentral:rRNA from 1 species
AACGAACGCUGGCGGCAUGCCUAACACAUGCAAGUCGAACGAGACCUUCGGGUCUAGUGGCGCACGGGUGCGUAACGCGGGGGAACCUGCCCUUAGGUUCGGAAUAACUCCCCGAAAGGGGUGCUAAUACCGGAUAAUGUAUGCGGACCAAAGAUUUAUCGCCUUUGGAUGGGCCCGCGUUGGAUUAGCUAGUUGGUAGGGUAAAAGCCUACCAAGGCGACGAUCCAUAGCUGGUCUGAGAGGAUGAUCAGCCACACUGGGACUGAGACACGGCCCAGACUCCUACGGGAGGCAGCAGUGGGGAAUAUUGGACAAUGGGCGAAAGCCUGAUCCAGCAAUGCCGCGUGAGUGAUGAAGGCCUUAGGGUUGUAAAGCUCUUUUACCCGGGAUGAUAAUGACAGUACCGGGAGAAUAAGCUCCGGCUAACUCCGUG